UGACGGGACCGCACAAGCGGUGGAUGAUGUGGAUUAAUUCGAUGCAACGCGAAAACCUUACUACCCUUGACAUGUCCGGAAUCCCGAAGAGAUUUGGGAGUGCUCGCAAGAGAACCGGAACACAGGUGCUGCAUGGCUGUCGUCAGCUCGUGUCGUGAGAUGUUGGGUUAAGUCCCGCAACGAGCGCAACCCUUGUCAUUAGUUGCCAUCAUUUGGUUGGGCACUCUAAUGAGACUGCCGGUGACAAACCGGAGGAAGGUGGGGAUGACGUCAAGUCCUCAUGGCCCUUAUGGGUAGGGCUUCACACGUCAUACAAUGGUCGGUACAGAGGGUUGCCAACCCGCGAGGGGGAGCUAAUCCCACAAAGCCGAUCGUAGUCCGGAUCGCAGUCUGCAACUCGACUGCGUGAAGUCGGAAUCGCUAGUAAUCGUGGAUCAGCAUGUCACGGUGAAUACGUUCCCGGGUCUU
rnacentral:rRNA from 1 species